rnacentral:tRNA from 1 species
GGAGGUAUAGUUCAGUGGUAGAACACGUGCUUAGCAUGCAUGAGGUCCUGGGUUCAAUCCCCAGUACCUCCA